rnacentral:rRNA from 1 species
GUCUAUGGCCAUGCCGCCCUAAACAAGUCCGAUGUCUGAUCUCGGAAGCUAAGCAGUGUUGGGCCUGGUUAGUACUUGGGUGGGAGACCACCUAGGAAGACCAGGUGGCAUAAAUU